AUACUUACGUGAAUUAACAUCGUUUAAAUUCUCUAUUACGCCGUACUUACGUUUUAUUAUAAUAUAUAUAAUAAAACAGUCGGUGGGAUCAUGUGAGAUCGGAAGGAUCGUCGAUGAGCCAUUUUUGAGAUAUUACGAAGAUAUUACGUAGCUUGAUGAUUUACGAGCUAAAUUUACGAACGAUAAAGAAACAACGGUCUUCUUAAUCCGUGAGCACUUAAUUACGAAGAUGAAGGUGUAAUCGAGAAUUUAAAAAAUAAUGAGAGAGAGAGAGAGAGAGAG